rnacentral:lncRNA from 1 species
CCACAGCAAUGCAGGAUCCAAGCUAAGUCUGUGACCUACAUCACAACUCACAGCAACACCGGAUCCUUAAUCCAAUAAACAAGGCCAGGGAUCGAACCUGUGUCCUCACGGAUCCUAGUUGGGUUGGUUAACUGCUGAGCCACAACGGGAAUUCCUACAGUUUUCUUCUUGAUACUGCCUUUAUUUAAACUUAGGCAUCAAUGGUAUAUCUGCUUGGAAAAAAGUGUUAAGUUUUCUUUCAUUUUGAAUCUUCUAAAAUAAAAGAUUUUAUGUUCUAAGUCUUCCAAAUACAGACUACCUGGUCUCUGAAUAUUUUGUGGGAACACCCUGUGAAAACAUCUGGACAAGGUACUUUUUUUGGUAAGACGAUUCUUUUAAAACUUGAUUUCUUGUAUGGGAAUUGGUCUUGUCUUCUAACUCCACUGGGGUCAAUGUCUGUACACUGUACACCAACAAAUGGCCCAAUCCACCUAAGUUUUAAAAUUUAUUCAUAUAGAGACCAUAAACAGUCUCUUGUGAUUCUUUAAAAUAUCCUCUUUUUUUUCUUUUUAUGUCUUGACUUGUGGUAUAUAUAAGUUUCUGGGCUACAGGUUGAAUGGGAGCUGCAGCUGGGACCUAUGCCAUAGCCAUGGCAAUACCAGAUCUCAGUUGUAUCUGUGACAUACAUCACGGCUCAUGGCAAUGCCAGAUCCUUAACCAACUGAGAGAGCCCAGGGAUCAAACCCACAUUCUCACAAACACAUAUUCUUUGAUGAUUACAGAUGUAGAAAUUUGCAAAAACAAACAAAACAUACUGGCAAACUGAAACCAACAACACAUAAAAAUGACUAUACAACAUGACCCAGUGAGAUUCAUCUCAGGUUCACAAGGGUGGUUCAACAAAUGCAAAUCAGUCAACAUCAUACACCACAUUAACAAAUCAAAGUAAAAAACCACAUGAUCACCUCAAAAGAUGCAGAAAAAGGAUCUGACAAAAUCCAAUUCCCAUUCAUGAAAAGAAACAUCUUUCCAAAACAGGUAUAGAGGGACUAUAUCUCAACAUAAUAAACUCUAUUUAUGACAAAACUACAGCUGACAUAAUAUUCAAUGGAGAAAAGCUGAAAGUCUUCCCAUUAAAAUCUGGACAAGACAAGGAUAUCCACUCUCACCACUGUUAUUCAACAUGGUAUUGGAAAUCCUAGCCACAGCAAUCAGACUAACAAAAGAAACAAAAGCUAUUCAAAUUGGACAAGAAGAGGUAAAAUUGUCACUGUAUGCAGAUAACAUGAUACUACAGAUAGAAAUCCCUAAGGACUCCAGACAAAAACUACUUGAUCUAAUGAAUGAAUUAAGCAAAGUAUGAGGAUACAAGAUUAACAUUCAGAAAUGGGUUGCAUUUCUGUAUACUAACAAUAAAUACUAGAAAAUAAGUAUAAAAACAUACCUGUUAGGAGUUCUCGCUAUGGCUCAGAGGCUUAAAAACCCAACUAGUAUCCGUGAGACUAUGGCUUCAAUCCCUGGCCUCACUCAGUGGGUUAAGGAUCCGUCACUGCCAUGAAAUCUGGUGCAGGUCACAUAUGUGACUCAGAUCUGCCAUUGCUGUGGCUGAGGCAUAGGUCGGCAGCUGCAGCUCCGAUUCAACCCCAAGCCUAGGGACUUCCAUAUACCACAGGUGCGGCUGAAAGGAAAAACAAAAAAAACAUUUAAAACUGCAUCCAAAAAAAUUAAAAAAUUAAAAACCAGGAAUAAAUCUGACAAAGGAAGUAAAAGACUUAACAUCCUAGGAACUAUAAAGCAUUGAUAAAAGAAUUUAAAGAGGAUUAAAAGAAAUGGAGAUAUCCCAUGCUCUUGGAUUAGAAGAUUUAAUAUUUUUAAAAUGGCCAUACUACCCAAAACAAUCUACAUAUUUAAAUGUGAUCUCCUAUCAAAUUACCCAUGACAUUUUUCAGAGAACUAAAACAAAUAAUCAAAAAAUGUAUAUGGAUCUCAAAAGACCCAGUCAUGCCAAAGCGCAACUGAGGAAAAAAGAACAAAGCAGGAGGCAUAACUCUCCCAGACUUCAGACAAUAUUACAAAGCUACAGUAAUCAAGACAGUGUGGUAAUGCUACAAAAACAGAUGUACAGACCAACGGAAGAGAAUAAAGAACAUCCAAAUAAACCCAGACACCUACAGUCAAUUAAUCUUUGGCAAAGGAGGCAAGACUCUAUCAUGGGAAAAAGACAGUCUCUUCAGAAAGUGGCCCUGGAAAAGGUAGACAGCUGCAUGUAACUCAAUGAACUAGAACACACUCUCAAGGCAUCCUAAAAAUAAACUCAAAGUGGCUUAAAGACUUAAACCUAAGACAUGACACCAUAAAACUCCAAGAGAACUUACGUAAAACAUUCUUGGCGGAGGACUGACAUGGCAGAGGAGUAAGAUGUCACGCUCACCUUCUCACAAACACAUCAAAAAAACAUAUCUUACCUGUAAAACAACUCGCACAGAAUAUAUACUGAAUGCUGGCAGAAGAACUUAAACUGCCAAAAAGACAAGAAUCUCUUGACAUAACUGGGUAGAAGAAAAGAAAAAUAGAAGGAAUUGGGAUGGGACUACUAGCAUUCCUGAGAGGGAGCUGUGAAAGAGAAAAGGAACACACAUCUUGGGAAGCCACCUAACUGACGGGGAGAUCAGGCGAGGAGACAGAAUGACCUCAAAGUCUCCAAGAAAAGCACAGCAGCUGGACUAAGGAGGGCAAAGUAGAGAGAGAGCCACACAGACCAUGUGAACCCCCGACCCAGACACCACAGCCUGAGACAGUCCAGCAGGAGCUAGGCACUGAGACUAAGGCUCUGGAGGUCAGUCCCAGGAAGAGGACUAGGAGUGGAACUCCACGGCAGAGGAAAACUGGGAGAAGGUCUGGGCCCACAGGUGAAGCAAGGUGCCAUUGAUGCGGAGGGCAAGAGAAGGGGUGGACAGACAUAGGAAUCUCACUGCACAUGGGCACGAGGGCUCUUAUAAGGCAGGGCAUCUCUGGCAGGUGGGGUAAAGCCACUUGCUUGGGCUAUGGGAGAUCAUGAGCAUCUUGUGUAGGCUAUAGGUGACCAGGCAUCUCUUGCAUGGACUAAGGGCAGCAGGGGGCUAAGUAUAAUGUGGUACCUCUUGUGUGAUCUACAGGUGGCAGGGACAGAUUGCAGCAGUUGUCUCAGAGGCCAGAGGGAGGAGUGGCCUGCCACCACUGAGGGCCUGCGAGUGGGCUGCGAGUGGGCUCCACCUGCAGCCCCAGUCACCUCAGGGGUUAGCAAAAAAAAAAAAAAAAAAAAAA